CCUACGGGAGGCAGCAGUGGGGAAUAUUGGACAAUGGGGGCAACCCUGAUCCAGCCAUGCCGCGUGUGUGAAGAAGGCCCUCGGGUUGUAAAGCACUUUCAGUGAGGAAGAACGCCUGGUGGUUAAUACCCAUCAGGAAAGACAUCACUCACAGAAGAAGCACCGGCUAACUCCGUGCCAGCAGCCGCGGUAAUACGGAGGGUGCGAGCGUUAAUCGGAAUUACUGGGCGUAAAGCGCGCGUAGGUGGCUUGAUAAGCCGGUUGUGAAAGCCCCGGGCUCAACCUGGGAACGGCAUCCGGAACUGUCAAGCUAGAGUGCAGGAGAGGAAGGUAGAAUUCCCGGUGUAGCGGUGAAAUGCGUAGAGAUCGGGAGGAAUACCAGUAGCGAAGGCGGCCUUCUGGACUGACACUGACACUGAGGUGCGAAAGCGUGGGUAGCAAACAGGAUUAGAUACCCCAGUAGUC
rnacentral:rRNA from 1 species